rnacentral:rRNA from 1 species
ACGGACGAGAAGCUUGCUUCUCUGAUGUUAGCGGCGGACGGGUGAGCAACACGUGGAUAACCUACCUAUAAGACUGGGAUAACUUCGGGAAACCGGAGCUAAUACCGGAUAAUAUUCUGAACCGCAUGGUUCAAAAGCGAAAGACGGUCUUGCUGUCACUUAUAGAUGGAUCCGCGCUGCAUUAGCUAGUUGGUAAGGUAACGGCUUACCAAGGCAACGAUGCAUAGCCGACCUGAGAGGGUGAUCGGCCACACUGGAACUGAGACACGGUCCAGACUCCUACGGGAGGCAGCAGUAGGGAAUCUUCCGCAAUGGGCGAAAGCCUGACGGAGCAACGCCGCGUGAGUGAUGAAGGUCUUCGGAUCGUAAAACUCUGUUAUUAGGGAAGAACAUAUGUGUAAGUAACUGUGCACAUCUUGACGGUACCUAAUCAGAAAGCCACGGCUAACUACGUGCCAGCAGCCGCGGUAAUACGUAGGUGGCAAGCGUUAUCCGGAAUUAUUGGGCGUAAAGCGCGCGUAGGCGGUUUUUUAAGUCUGAUGUGAAAGCCCACGGCUCAACC